UAACGCCUCCGUUUUGACAAUUCUUUCAUACCCCCAAUUUUUUCACACCACCAAAUCUCUUUUACAGCCCUCAAAUUCUCUUCUCAAAUCAAGAACAACCCCACAACCGGUCAACCGCAUCAUAGGUUGUUGAAUGUCUUUUAUAUCUGAUUAAUUCUAUUGUACACGACUUUGUGAGGAUUUGAAGUUGAAGACACAUAGGAUGUGCUUUAGUAAAAAAUGAGAUAUUUGUUGCCUUUAAAUGUUUAAACUUAUAAUAGUGUCAUAAGCUGUAGACAAUCAUCGUGCCCCGUACUAAAUACGUUGCGGAUCAGGGUGUGACAAUUUAGUGGGAAAAGGUGAUUCAGCGGGGUUUUGGCAUGAUCACUGGACUAAAGGUGAACCACUUCGGGUCUGGUGUCCGUUACCAUUCUCGCUUGCUAAACACAAAAAAAGACUUGUGUUGUUAAGUAUUGUAAACUGGUUGGGAACACUAUAUGUUUGGAAUGGGAAUGGAAACAUCUCCUAGGUUCAGUAGAAGAAAACGAGGAGGUGGAUCGACUUAUGGUGAUGCUAAACUAAACAAAUAUCAAGGACUCAAAAGAGUCAUGGUUAUGGAGAUCGAGUGGAGAAUAUGUUGAGUUCUCAGCAAAACAAGUUUGUGAAGAUAUCAGUACCGCUUCCAAUCCGAAUAGUCAGCAUCAUCCGCUCAAAUGGAGCGUUUUCUUGGUUCCGAAAGUCAAAUGUUUCAUGUGUGAAGCAGUGAACACCAAGAUCCCUACUGCAGAUGCGUUCAUGGCUAGAGGAGUUAGGGUCGGGUAAGGUUUUUUCUUAGAAUGUGGUAUCAUCUUCGAGUAUACAGACCACAUGCUUGCAGCUUGCAUUUUUGCAUAGUCGAUU
rnacentral:lncRNA from 1 species